CUGACUCUGGGAGAUAUCUCGAAGGGAAAGCAGGCCACCCAGAAAACCUGAAGGCAUUUCUGACACCCGACUUCCUCCCUGAACGCAUCUUGGACCUUCAGCUUCAGGGGAGCUAGCGCUGACCUGUCUGGAAACCUCCUCAGUACGAAGAGCCCGUCCUGCACUCAGCCUGUCCUCUGUCCAGCCGCGUCCAGCCCAUUCCUGUCAGUGUGAUUACACUUUGUGCGUUGGAAUUUUUCUCACCUCGGAGCGCUAGUCCAUGCAGCAGCUGGACUCGGCUGAUGGAGAGGUUUGCCUUUAGGUUGUGGUGGCGCUACGGAACUGAUAUUUAAGGACUGUCCACCAGGUCUCCUGUGGAUUUCACCUGUGUAUCUACAUUAUGCAAAGCAAGGAUAUGCAGCCCCACUUUCAGCUAAAGGGAAUGGUCCCCAUCUCAGUUUGAUGACAGCUUCUUUCUCUCCAUCCAACACCGGCAACACCACCCCCUCUUCCUCCCACUGCGGGAAGAUGGCUCAGAAGCCAUCAAGGUGACAGCUCAGAAGUGAAGACAACUCCAACAGCAGCAGAUUUUUUCCCCAGGAGCUGCCCAGAGUGCUGAGCAGGGUGGCUGCUUAUGCCUGUAAGAAAACUAAAGACACCUCCUCCCCACAAUACUUUGUUUUUCAAGUGAAAGGUUUGGACAAUUCCCCACAUAUCCUCUACUUAAGUGGA